rnacentral:rRNA from 1 species
AUGGAGAAGACUCGACGGGAGGAGCAAAGCAAGGAGGUGAGUCUUCUAAUGGUGCAAGCAAAGCGACCCGAGCUCCUCUCUCCUCCUGAGCGAGAAAAUGAAGGCUACCUCGAGAUCACAACUGUACCAAGUAUGCACGGGAGAUUCGGGAUGCGUGCAUGGCGGCGGCAGAUAGCUUGCACGUAUGGAUGGGAGAUUCCAAGUUUCACAAGCAUGCAACUAGGAAUGAGCAAGUCUCUUUUCUUUUUCAUCAAGCUUUGGUUGGAGCUAGCAACACCUACGGCACUAACCAUCUGCCGGUUACGUCCUCGAUCGACCGGGUUCUCCACCGCUAGCCCUUAUACUCCCUCGCCAUCGCUGGAGGAGGCCGCCGCCGGUCGAAACCCAUGA